UGGUGGGUUUCAAUAUUUGCUCGAGCUAUGGAGAUAGAUGGGAUGUGCCUCAGGUUUCUUGCUAAGGAGACGAUGUGUUUUUGUUCAUUGAGGGACUUCAUUAACCGUCCUCCAUUAAACUACAGCUGCUAAACAAGGUGCGGUCCAUCGCAUCUGACGGCUCCGUCCUGGGAACCAUCCCAUGCGAACACCCAAAGGUCAGUUCAGACAGAGCGGGAGGAAUAAAGAUCUACUUGACCUCACUUCAGAUUGCGGUGUCGGCCAGAUAAACCGCCGCGGCCGUGAGAGCGGCGCGGAGCAACGGCGAUAAAAGCCAGAUGGAGACGUGGCCCGAGUGCGGUCCAGAGCAGAGUCCUCCCUACGCUGCUCUGGUGGCUCUGAACCUCUAAAGUCAGCCCCGAGACAAUCCACUUUCGCUCCCAGCAGAGUGCUUAGCCAGCAGGUCACCCGUGCCACCUCCCCUGAACCUGGUCAUCCAUUUGUAUGAGGCGGAGCGCCGGAGCCCCGCACGGCGGCCCCGUCAAUCAAGGGGAGACGAGUUUCCAGAUUGUGCACGGAAGCCGGUUUGCAGCAUGAGAACUGGACAGCCUGCACUCAGCAGGUCGGGAGGUGAGAACACACUAAUUAAAGCUGCUAUGUGCCAAAUGCCCGUGAUGACCUGACCUGUUUUGGGUUCUUUUUUUUCUUUAGCUGGGCAAUUUAGGGCUGAUAAGCUCUGCAUCACGUAGUGCAUCACUGCGCUAAGUAAUAAUGGAGGUUUAGCCA